rnacentral:rRNA from 1 species
GACGAACCGUCCGACCGUUAUUCGGAAUCACUGGGCUUAAAGGGUGCGUAGGCGGCGCGGAAAGUUGGGUGUGAAAUCCCUCGGCUUAACCGAGGAACUGCGCCCAAAACUACCGUGCUUGAGGGAGAUAGAGGUGAGCGGAACUUAGGGUGGAGCGGUGAAAUGCGUUGAUAUCCUAAGGAACACCGGUGGCGAAAGCGGCUCACUGGAUCUCUUCUGACGCUGAUGCACGAAAGCUAGGGUAGCGAACGGG